rnacentral:rRNA from 1 species
UACGUAGGGAGCAAGCGUUGUCCGGAAUUAUUGGGCGUAAAGAGCUCGUAGGCGGCUUGUCGCGUCGGAUGUGAAAGCCCGGGGCUUAACUCCGGGUCUGCAUUCGAUACGGGCAGGCUAGAGUUCGGUAGGGGAGAUCGGAAUUCCUGGUGUAGCGGUGAAAUGCGCAGAUAUCAGGAGGAACACCGGUGGCGAAGGCGGAUCUCUGGGCCGAUACUGACGCUGAGGAGCGAAAGCGUGGGGAGCGAACAGG